rnacentral:rRNA from 1 species
CAGCCGCCGCGGGAAUACGAAGGGGGCUAGCGUUGUUCGGAUUUACUGGGCGUAAAGGGCGCGUAGGCGGACUGAUAAGUCAGGGGUGAAAUCCCAAGGCUCAACCUUGGAACUGCCUUUGAUACUGUUUGUCUUGAGUUCGAGAGAGGUAAGUGGAACUGCGAGUGUAGAGGUGAAAUUCGUAGAUAUUCGCAAGAACACCAGUGGCGAAGGCGGCUUACUGGCUCGAUACUGACGCUGAGGCGCGAAAGCGUGGGGAGCAAACAGGAUUAGAUACCCGUGUAGUCCCUGUCUCUUAUAC